rnacentral:rRNA from 1 species
UACGAAGGGGGCUAGCGUUGCUCGGAAUCACUGGGCGUAAAGGGUGCGUAGGCGGGUUUUUAAGUCAGGGGUGAAAUCCUGGAGCUCAACUCCAGAACUGCCUUUGAUACUGAAGAUCUUGAGUUCGGGAGAGGUGAGUGGAACUGCGAGUGUAGAGGUGAAAUUCGUAGAUAUUCGCAAGAACACCAGUGGCGAAGGCGGCUCACUGGCCCGAUACUGACGCUGAGGCACGAAAGCGUGGG